rnacentral:rRNA from 1 species
UACGAAGGGGGCUAGCGUUGCUCGGAAUCACUGGGCGUAAAGCGCACGUAGGCGGAUCGUUAAGUCGGGGGUGAAAUCCUGGAGCUCAACUCCAGAACUGCCUUCGAUACUGGCGAUCUUGAGUCCGGAAGAGGUGAGUGGAACUCCUAGUGUAGAGGUGGAAUUCGUAGAUAUUAGGAAGAACACCAGUGGCGAAGGCGGCUCACUGGACCGGUAUUGACGCUGAGGUGCGAAAGCGUGGGGAGCAAACAGG